CUACGUGCCAGCAGCCGCGGUAAUACGGAGGGUGCGAGCGUUAAUCGGAAUAACUGGGCGUAAAGGGCACGCAGGCGGUGACUUAAGUGAGGUGUGAAAGCCCCGGGCUUAACCUGGGAAUUGCAUUUCAUACUGGGUCGCUAGAGUACUUUAGGGAGGGGUAGAAUUCCACGUGUAACGGUGAAAUGCGUAGAGAUGUGGAGGAAUACCGAAGGCGAAGGCAGCCCCUUGGAAAUGUACUGACGCUCAUGUGCGAAAGCGUGGGUAGCAAACAGGAUUAGAUACCCUGGUAGUCCACGCCCUAAACGAUGUCAAUUAGCUGUUGGGCAACUUGAUUGCUUAGUAGCGUAGCUAACGCGUGAAAUUGACCGCCUGGGGAGUACGGUCGCAAGAUUAAAACUCAAAGGAAUUGACGGGGACCCGCACAAGCGGUGGAUGAUGUGGAUUAAUUCGAUGCAACGCGAAGAACCUUACCUGGUCUUGACAU
rnacentral:rRNA from 1 species